rnacentral:rRNA from 1 species
AUUGAACGCUGGCGGCGUGCCUAACACAUGCAAGUCGAGCGGUAACAGGUGUAGCAAUACAUGCUGACGAGCGGCGGACGGGUGAGUAACGCUUGGGAAUCUGCCUGUUAGUGGGGGACAACCCGGGGAAACUCGGGCUAAUACCGCAUACGCACUACGGUGGAAAGCCGGGGACCGCAAGGCCUGGCGCUAAACAGAUGAGCCCAAGUCGGAUUAGCUAGUUGGUAGGUAACCGGCCACCAAGGCGACGAUCCGUAACUGGUCUGAGAGGACGACCAGUCACACCGGAACUGAGACACGGUCCGGACUCCUACGGGAGGCAGCAGGUGGGGAAUAUUGGACAAUGGGCGAAAGCCUGAUCCAGCGACGCCGCGUGGGUGAAGAAGGCCUGCGGGUU